rnacentral:rRNA from 1 species
AAUACUAAAAAUAGAAAUAUGUUUUAAUUAUAACGUAACACUUAUAAGAAAAACAUAAAAAAAAUCAAAUAAUAAUUUGAAAUAUGUAAGAGGACUCCCUUAACUUAAGCAUAUCAAUAAGGGAAGGAAAAGAAAAUAACUAUGAUUUCUUGAGUAAUGGCGAAUGAAAAAGAAAAAGACUAAGUUGAUAAAACAUGUCUUACGUCAAGAUUAUUUUUGACUCUAUAGCAAUAUGGAGAAGGGAAUAGUUAGUAAGAUAUGGAUGUAACUAAAGAACUAAGAGAUUUGAAAAGAGAAUAGGAAUGAAGAAAAUAACUGGAGAGUUAUAUAAAAUAGAGUGAGAAUCUCGUAUUUGUUACUAUUCUUUGAAAAGAAUCUCAUAGAGAAAAGAGUCAAUUUAUUUGGAAGUAUAAAUUGAAAAGGUGAUAGUAUUCAUCAAAGUCUAAAUAUAACGGGAAAACUGAUAGGAAAGAAGUACAGUGAUGGAAAAUAGAAAAGCACUUUGAAAAAAGAGUUAAAUAGAGCUUGAAAGAGUAUUAUUGUAACGGAUAAGUAAAUAUCACAAUUAUAUGAAAUAUUAUAUAAUAAAUAUGAAAUGAAUUAUAACAAAUUUUAUGAAUAAUGGAAUGUGUUAUGAGUUAUUAGUUAUAUUUAUUAAUAUAGUAAAUUGUAUAAUAAGGAAAAAAGAUAAAUUUCUUUAAAACGAUGAAUGAAUUCUAAGAGAGGAAUAUAUUAGAAAUAGUAUAUUUCAAUUUCGAAGAAUAAAAGAAACAUUCGAUGAUAGAAAGGAAUUUAAAAAAGGAUUUAAAGAUGAUGUUAAAAGAAAGCAUUAAUUUAGAUUCAGACUUUUUAAGAUAGUACUUAUCUACCCGUCUUGAAACACGGACCAAGGAGUCUAACAUGGAUGCGAAUGUGAAAGGGAAUAAUCCCUAGAAUACAUGGAGAGAAAUCGAAACACUAUGACGAUCAGAUAAUGAUUAGCAGUAGUAUCUUUUUCAAACGGAAAAGAAGAAGUAAACAUGUUAGGACCCGAAAGAUGGUGAACUAAACUUGAAGGAUUUGAAGCCGAAGGAAACUUUGGUGGAAGAAUCAAGAAGUGUUAACGUGCAAAUUACUUUCGAUAUUUGAGUUUAGGGGCGAAAGACUCAUCGAACCAUCUAGUAGCUGGUUCCACCUGAAUAUUCCCUUAGGAAGGUCAAAGUGGUAAUAGUAUUGAUUGGUAAAGAUAAUGAUUAGGUGUAAUGGUGGAGAUAAUCUGUCAACAUCUUGUCAAACUAUGAAUGAACAAAGAAGUUUGGAAUGUUAGUAACGCUAACUUAUUUUGAACUGAUAUAAGUACACUUUGAAUCGGCCAAGUCUGGUAAGCAGGACUGGCGAUGCGGGAUGAACCGAACGUAGAGAUAAAGUGCCAAAGGGAAACAUAAGGAAAACCAUAAAAGGCAUUCAUUCAUAUUGACAAUAGGACGGUGGCCAUGGAAGUCGGAAACCGCCAAGGAGUGUGUAACAACUCACCUAUCGAAUGAAUGAGUCCUGAAAAUGGAUGGCGUUAUAAUUUCCGUCACUGAUGCUCUACCAUUACUUUGAAGAGAAAGUAAUGAGUAAGGAAACGACAUGGCGUAAAGAUCACGAUAGUAAGAAAGCUUUUGAGUAAUCAAGAGUGAAACGAUCUUUAGUGCAGAUCUUGGUGGUAGUAGCAAAUACUAAGAAGAAGGAAAACACAUCUUAGAACUGAAGAGGAGAAAGGUUCCUAAACAACAUUACUUGGAUUAGGGUGAAUCGAUCCUAAAUGACAGAUGGAAAUCCUUAUAAGAAAUAUAUUAAAAUUUUAUAUCAAUGAUAUAAGAUAAUAAGAAGGAUUAAAAGGGAAUAAGAUUAAUAGUUCUUAAUCAAAAGAAUUUAAUGUUUAAUAUAUAAAUAGAUAACAGUCGUAAGACAGUUAACUAUAAAUAUAUCAACAUAUAAAAAAAUGGUAACAUAUAAAUGAACUUUAAAAGAGAUUAGUAUUAACUAAGGAAGAGUUCUCUUUUCUUCUUAACAAAGCUGCAUAUUGCAUUUAAAUGAAUCAAUCAGAGAAAUGGAAUAUAUUAGCAUUGGAAGACAAUUGUCAUAUGAAUGAUUGGAAUAGGAUAAUACUAGUUUUCAUAAAAAUUAAAGGGAAUACAUAAAGAAAGAAUUCUUUUGAUCGUACUCAUAACCGCAACAGGUCUCCAAGAAUUAGAAUCUUUAGUUAAAUAGAAUAACGCAAGUAAGGGAAGUCGGCAACAUAGCUCUGUACGUUCGCAAGAAAGAGUAGCUCUAAUGAUUGACAAGAAUCAUCUUGUGUACCAAUUAAAUUAGAACUUAUAAAGAUUAGGGGAAUCCGACUGUUUAAUAAAAACAUAGCAUUCUGAAGAAUCUAAAAGGUGCAAAACAGAAUGUGAUUUCUGCCCAGUGCUCUGAAUGUCAAGGUAAAGAAAUUUGCUUAAGCGCGGGUUAACGGCGGGAGUAACUAUGACUCUCUUAAGGUAGCCAAAUGCCUCGUCAUCUAAUUAGUGACGCGCAUGAAUGGAUCACCGUGAUUCCCACUGUCCCUAUUUGCAAUCUAGUGAAACCACAGUCAAGGGAACGGGCUUGAAAAGAACGGCGGGGAAAGAAGACCCUGUUGAGCUUGACUCCAAUUUAUCUAGUGAAAUCGAUUUUUUGGUGUAGGCUAGGUGGGAGAGAGUAACAUCUCAAACGUGAAAUACCACCACUGAAAAUACUAUUU